CGAUUAGAUAUUCGCGAAGCAGGUUCCGGUAACGAAGUUACCGAAGGACGGUUUAUCUGAGGACUCUUAGGCUCCUGUACUUCACUUUAGUCUGGCUAGUGGAGGAGGUAGGAGUUACUUUUAAUUAGUUCCGCGUGUACGAGGAAAAAGUAUAGAUAAGCUGUUCCCAUUCAGCUAGGGUAGCUAGUGCGUGCGAUAGUUUAUGCACCUGUGCGAUUUAGAGGUUUGCCGCGACCGCACCACUAACUACCAGUUCGGAAUAGCAAACACUAUAGAGCCACCGCCAGGACUGAAGAAUCCGCCCGGCGAUCCACAAGGCCGGAAAAGGGUCGCUACCUUAAUUGUGCGCCCUAACGAGAGAGCAUCCAGACGAGAAGGAUAAGCUAAUCCAGCCCGAGUGCAGCACAGCAUCCAACGCCAACAGCAGGCGCGCGCAACGCGCUAGAAGCAGCAUUGAGAGAGGGAGAGAAAGGGAUUAACUGAUCCACCAGCAGCAGCAGUGCAGAGCCGAUAAGCAACGUGGAGGACCCCAUGUUGGCCCUAGAAGGCAAUUGAGCAACCAACGAAGCGGAAGGUAAAAUCCACCGAGAGUGGUAGGCAGCACUGAGUGAGUACGUACCUAUAAAUAGUCCAUGCGCAUGAGACCGAAGGUGAGGGCCGAAACCUUAGAGAAUUGAUCGAUAGAUUCGGAUCGGAAAUGAAAGUUCAAAUGAAAGUUCAAAACGCACAGUAGGAAGAGAAGUUAGAAGCUUAAAUGGGAAAGGAAAGGGAACUAUAGACUAGGCCUAGCGAAGAGAAAGAUGAAGUCAAAUGUUUAACGAUAAGUUAGGAAAGUACUAAAUAAACCCCAUGUAAUUUGUACCACCGCACUUGUGACUUUGAUAAUAUUGUGCGCUGUUCCUCUUAGUGUCUCGGGAGAGGUUUUCAUGCGGUCCGCGUGACGUUGUCCUUUAGUUGAUUUUGUGUAGAUUUGUACUGGGGAGGCUGACCCUGAAAUCAGCCACGAUCUCUCCCGAUUCUUACCGGUGGGCAGACGGG